GAAUGGCGCAGAUGAUGAGCAUAAUUUGAAAUCCUGUUAAUGGCGGUUCGGGCAAUGGAGCUGGUGCUGGAGUGGCCAAACUGUGUGAGAAGAAAAACAUCCAGUCUUAAGUAACUUCUUAAGUAACUUCUUAAGAAUAAGGAGAUCCAAUUUUCAAGAAGCAUAAAGGAUCCAUUUAUUAAUAAAAUUGGAUAAGAAAUUUAGUGGAACGACGAUAAUUUAUCAAGAGGCAAAAAAGAAAAAGUCUUGAAGAAAAAGAACAAGUGAAGAAUGACCUUGCUUAUGAAGCAUAAAACUUCGUCAAUAAUUAAAUACUUUCUUUGAAUAUUUCAAUAUAUAAUUGAAAUACUAUAAAUAAAAAUAAAAAAUGACAAGAAAGUAAGAAGCUACUCACAUGCUGGCAGGAGGGGCCGGUGGUGCAGGCGCCAUAGGUGGAGGAUAUCUGCAAACUAUCGUAAUAACUUCAUCCCCAUCCAUUUCGAGGCCAGGAUGGAAGCGAACUACAACGUUGUUUGUGAACACGCGUUGAGGAUCCUGCCUCGUACCGCAUCCUGUAACAAAGCAUCAAGGCUGAUUAUGCGUUGUCUAGCCGCGUCAAGAGCUUUAUUAACCCUUUCGCAUCCACGAUAUGAAAUAUCUGGUAAACUUUAAACGCAAUGUUGCUUUGAACAAGACGAUUUUACGACGUUACUCGUGCGAUAUAUAUUACGAGAUCAGACAUUCCUUGCGUUCUCAAUAAUUCAUAAAAACAAGGUAAGAUAUCAAGUAAAAAAAAAUUUCUCCAGGAUGUAAAAUCAUUUUAACCAUUAUUUUUCGCAUAGAUAUAUUCGAAUUUCGCUGGUAAAAACUUGGAAUCGCUCGAAACAAAUGUAGCGAAUUGUAUGUGUCCAAUCUCUAUAACAGGAAAGCCUCUACACAAGUCGAAAUAAGGUAUUCUCGCGAUAAAUAUGAAAUGAGAAGAUCCACGAUAAAUGUGAAAAUUUUAUUUCUAUCUGAUAGCAAGAAUCUUCCUUGGAAUCUGUUGAAAAAAGAAACAAAGAAGAAAUGGAGAGAAGAAAGAGAGAAAGAGAAUAUAUAUAUAUAUAUACACCUUUGAGAGGUAGUUCCAACUUGGCGCUGGUUGAGCCACGUCCUUUGAAUAUGCACGCACUGUUACGAUCGAAAUCAGCGUAGGCAACUCCGUGAAAUGGUUCCUCAAACUUUAAUUCAACCUGCAUGCUACCCUGGCUGCAAUUCAGGUACGCCUUCGUGCGAUUCAGAAAUAUCAUCGACGAGAUGUCGUCCAAUUUGGUUACCUUGCCGUUCAACACUGUGCUGGGCGGUAAACCUGGUUGGUAUUCGAUACUAUUUCCCUGCGAUGCAUAGUUGCUCUGCGACAGCACUAGAGGGAGUGCUGUACAGAGCACGGGCAGCAAUUUAAGUAGCAUCUGAAAAUAUUCACUUGAAUUUAUUUUAAAUAUUUUAGAUUUCCAAAAAUGUUUAUGUGUGUGUGUAUAUAUAUAUACGUGCGUAUGUUAUUAUCAGAUUUAUGCACAAAUGUAAAGUGAUAGAUCGAAUAGUUUUGGUAAUUAAAAUAUAAACUAAUAAAUAUAUAACUACUAUGUUAUCAUUAUUAUAAUAAUUGAUAUAUAGUAUAUCCGAUGUAUAAUAUAAUAUAUCGAUAUAAUAUUAUUAUCAUAGCGUAUAAAAAAUUCAUUUUAAUUCUUCUACUACAAAAAUCUUUAAAUAUUAUGAAAAUCAUCGAUCUUCUAUUUGUAAAUACAUUUAAGCAACACGUUGGAAAUCACGAUCAAUGUCAUCCUAUAUGGUUAUGCAAUCGAGGCUCGACCACUGUUGUUGCAAAUCUAUCCUUUCAACGAUUUUUUUUUUUUUGAAUGCUCGAACAUUCGAGCGCGAACAAAUGGCGUAAAAAUCGUAUCGAUCGUAAACAGUAAACGUAAGAAUUCUAUCCGCGAAUGUAACAAUCCAAUUUGACAUUGAAGUUUGCAACACUGUACGAUAGUUUUACGCCUCGAAGGGAGAUAUAACGUUGGAGAACGGUCUCACAGCGUUCCAGUUAGAUUAGGUUAGGUUAGGUUAGGUUAUUGCUUAGGUCCGUUCCUGUUUCUAUCCGCAGGAAUUUUGAUUCUUUCGUGGAAAGGAAUGUAAAAACAUAUUUGUGAAACUUGGAAACAAUAGAAUAAAGCAUAUUUUUAUUAUUCAAAAAAAUAAUCUCUGAAAUGAAAUAUAAAAUAUAUUUAUAAGUAUUUUCAUUUAUAUAUUUUAUUUUCUAUAUAAAUAAUAUUUAAAUAAAACAUUAAAUUUAUAAACUCAAUACACAAUAAAUUAUUUAAGGAUUAAUUGUCGAUAAAGUUAUUAAGAAAUCACAAUAAGAUAUUUUUGAAGAAAUUAAAACUGAAAAUUAAUUUAAAGAAAGGAUAGAAUGUCAUCUGUGACUUCAGUAUUUUUAAUACAUCAUAAAAAUAUAUUAUUUAUAAUGUUCCUAUACUUAAUAUACUUUAUUGAAUGUCAAGCUAAUUUUGCAAAAGUUAUUUCCAUGAUUAACUCAAUACAUUAUGGCUUCGAAACCUUCGGAAGCAGGAAUAAUCAAAGGUAUAGUUCAUCUUGAACAUCCAUGCCUUCUUUCAAGCAGAAAAAUUUCCUAUUUGAUUAAUUUCCAGCAUUGAGUGAAAAGAUUACAGAAACACACACACACACAUACACAGAGUACAUUUAUUUCUCUUUUGAAGGCUAUUUAAAAUAAAUAAAUAUAUAUACAUAAUGUUGAUACAUAAAUAUUUUUUAUUUUAUUUUUUAUGAAUUUCGUGAUUUUUUAUAUGUGUUAAUGAAUAACAAAAAUAUUAAAACGAAAUGUAUGAUAGAGUAUUUAUUCAUAAAUAAAUAUAGAUGUAAAGUAAACACUGAAUUGGAUAAGUUUUCAAAAUGACUUGGAACGUAAAUCUUGUUCAUUACCAACAAAGAAAAAAUAACAGUACGAAACA